AUUGAACGCUGGCGGCAGGCCUACACAUGCAAGUCGAGCGGUAGAGAGAAGCUUGCUUCUCUUGAGAGCGGCGGACGGGUGAGUAAUGCCUAGGAAUCUGCCUGGUAGUGGGGGAUAACGUUCGGAAACGGACGCUAAUACCGCAUACGUCCUACGGGAGAAAGCAGGGGACCUUCGGGCCUUGCGCUAUCAGAUGAGCCUAGGUCGGAUUAGCUAGUUGGUGGGGUAAUGGCUCACCAAGGCGACGAUCCGUAACUGGUCUGAGAGGAUGAUCAGUCACACUGGAACAGAGACACGGUCCAGACUCCUACGGGAGGCAGCAGUGGGGAAUAUUGGACAAUGGGCGAAAGCCUGAUCCAGCCAUGCCGCGUGUGUGAAGAAGGUCUUCGGAUUGUAAAGCACUUUAAGUUGGGAGGAAGGGCAGUAAAUUAAUACUUUGCUGUUUUGACGUUACCGACAGAAUAAGCACCGGCUAACUCUGUGCCAGCCGCCGCGGUAA
rnacentral:rRNA from 1 species